AUGCCUAUGUAACCGUGAUUUUCAGAUGCAAAAUCACACCGUCUCGAUGCUAAAUCACGUCUCCCUUGAAAUUACACCGAAACUAUAUAAAAAUUUACGAUUACGCCAAACCUGUGUGAUAUUUACAUUAAGAGGAUGUGAUUAUUACACAGGAACAGCUGCAACCAAGCGGUUACAUUAUUGGAUGGGCAAAAUUACACAAACUCGAUGUCAUAUCGCAUUUUUCCAGGAUGCGAUAAUAAGUUUCGCAACACUGCCCUACUUUGUUGUGAUCGAUCGAGCAAUCACCUGCCGGCCGGCCAUGUUUGAUUUUAUGCAGAGUUUUGCUCAAGCGGCUGCGGUUUACCCGUAUUUCUCCGGUUUUCCAGUUUUUUGACCAUAUAAUGCAUUUGAGGACAGCUGUUGAAGGUGGAGCCAGCACUCCCGGCGAAUUUUCGGGCACGACGAAACAAACUUUGUUUUCCGGCACGGUUUUAUCGCCUUGCCCUGCCGCCGAUACAUCUGCGCUGCACCGAAACUGCUGGAGUUUAGGCAUCUCCCACACGCAAUGUGAUGAACCAGAUUAAGUAAGGCGUAGAUGCGACAGGAAUUUUGUCCGAUCCCACGAUCCUUGAGAAGUACCGAAGGAGCGAACACAACAAGAACUCCGAGUUCCCCGAAUCGGCACGUCUUCCGCAGAUGGACCACCCUCACGAUCGAGGUCUGGGUAGAGUUUGUUUGACCGUUCCAGACUGCAGGACCCCAGCAGCAUCAUUCACAAAAGCCAAUCCUCGAACUGCGGUUUUAAUUGGUAUCGGCGAUGUUGCAUCAAAUUAUAUGUCUAUUAGCCAGAAUCGAAAAUCGUUUCUCCGGGCGCUCCGGGCAUCGCUUGCUUCCCUUCGAUUUGAUAAUAUUCUGAACGUGAAUAUUUGACCUUGAACAUCUGUUUGUACAGCCCGGAUAUGUACACCUUUUUAUUUGCAGGAUGACAAUGCAGGCGUCUUCGUAUCAAUACGUCUUCGAGUCUGUCGCCGUCAGAAUAACCGUUACUUAGAUAACUAGCUCGAGGAUCCGUAUAUAGCCGAUGCGGCGAACACACAUUCAUUCAGCACGGGUUCGCUUUCCGAACGGUUCCAGAUCCAUUCGUAAUAAAAAUAUAUUUUACCUCCGUGCCUGUGCCAUCCGCAAAUUUUAAAAUAGUUUAAAAAUAUUUUUAGCUAAUUUUGAAGUGCUCAUAGAUCGUAAUUUUAAUGUGCAGACUAUGCCCCAGUUGAUACGUAACGUGUGUAGGAAGAAGAAAAAAGUGAAUAAAUAAAUUCUGCUACAAGCUUA